rnacentral:rRNA from 1 species
UACGGAGGGUGCAAGCGUUGUCCGGAAUCACUGGGCGUAAAGGGCGCGUAGGCGGGAUGGCAAGUCGGUCGUGAAAUCCUUCGGCUCAACCGAAGAACGUCGGCCGAUACUGCCGUUCUUGAGGGAUGCAGAGGAGAUUGGAAUUCCCGGUGUAGCGGUGAAAUGUGUAGAGAUCGGGAGGAACACCGGUGGCGAAGGCGGGUCUCUGGGCAUCUCCUGACGCUGAGGCGCGAAAGCGUGGGGAGCAAACGGG